rnacentral:rRNA from 1 species
UAGCGUUGCUCGGAAUGACUGGGCGUAAAGCGAGCGCAGGCGGUUUUUUAAGUCUGAUGUGAAAGCCUUCGGCUCAACCGAAGAAGUGCAUCGGAAACUGGGAAACUUGAGUGCAGAAGAGGACAGUGGAACUCCAUGUGUAGCGGUGAAAUGCGUAGAUAUAUGGAAGAACACCAGUGGCGAAGGCGGCUGUCUGGUCUGUAACUGACGCUGAGGCUCGAAAGUAUGGGUAGC